rnacentral:rRNA from 1 species
GUAGGGUGCAAGCGUUAAUCGGAAUUACUGGGCGUAAAGCGUGCGCAGGCGGUCCGCUAAGACAGAUGUGAAACUCCCCGGGCUUAACCGUGGGAACUGCAAUUUGGUGACUGGCGGGCUAGAGUAUGGCAGAGGGGGUAGAAUUCCACGUGUAGCAGUGAAAUGCGUAGAGAUGUGGAGGAAUACCGAUGGCGAAGGCAGCCCCCUGGGCCAAUACUGACGCUCAUGCACGAAAGCGUGGGGGGAGCAAACCAGGAUUAGAUACCCUGGUAGUCCACGCCCUAAACGAUGUCAACAUUGUGGGUCUUCAUUGACUUGGUAAACGUAGCUAACGCGUGAAGUUGACCGCCCUGGGAGUACGGUCGCAAGAUUA